GGGGAAUCUUCCGCAAUGGGCGCAAGCCUGACGGAGCAAGACCGCGUGCGGGAGGACGGCCUAUUGGUUGUAAACCGCUUUUGAUAGGGAAGAAGCUCUGACGGUACCUAUCGAAUCAGCAUCGGCUAACUCCGUGCCAGCAGCCGCGGUAAUACGGAGGAUGCAAGCGUUAUCCGGAAUUAUUGGGCGUAAAGCGUCCGUAGGUGGUUGUUCAAGUCUGCUGUUAAAGCGUGCGGCUUAACCGCAUACCAGCAGUGGAAACUGGGCGACUAGAGUGCGGUAGGGGUCAGGGGAAUUCCCAGUGUAGCGGUGAAAUGCGUAGAUAUUGGGAAGAACACCAGCGGCGAAAGCGCGUGACUGGGCCUGAACUGACCUCCCCCGGACGAAAGCUAGGGGAGCGAAUGGGAUUAGAUACCCCAGUAGUC
rnacentral:rRNA from 1 species